rnacentral:rRNA from 1 species
CCUACGGGUGGCAGCAGUGAGGAAUAUUGGUCAAUGGACGAGAGUCUGAACCAGCCAAGUAGCGUGAAGGAUGACUGCCCUAUGGGUUGUAAACUUCUUUUAUAUGGGAAUAAAAUGUUCCACGUGUGGGAUUUUGUAUGUACCAUAUGAAUAAGGAUCGGCUAACUCCGUGCCAGCAGCCGCGGUAAUACGGAGGAUCCGAGCGUUAUCCGGAUUUAUUGGGUUUAAAGGGAGCGUAGGUGGAUUGUUAAGUCAGUUGUGAAAGUUUGCGGCUCAACCGUAAAAUUGCAGUUGAAACUGGCAGUCUUGAGUACAGUAGAGGUGUGCGGAAUUCGUGGUGUAGCGGUGAAAUGCUUAGAUAUCACGAAGAACUCCGAUUGCGAAGGUAGCUCACUGGACUGCAACUGACACUGAGGCUCGAAAGCGUGGGGAGCAAACAGGAUUAGAUACCCCUGUAGUC